ACAUCUGGUGUGAUCGUCUAAUGGGU
rnacentral:piRNA from 1 species